CCCCAGCCCCGGGCCACCGCCCGUCUGCCUCUGUCUGUGGAUCUGCCUGUUCUGGACGUUUCCCCUAUGGGAUCACAUGAGGCCUUCUGUGUCAGCUUCUCUCACUCAGCGUGAGGCCGUGAGGUUCGUCCACUGUGAAGCGCGUGUCAGGGCUUUGGUCUUUGUUAUGACCGAGUGCUAUUCCCUCGGGAUGGACCACAGUUGGUUUAUCCAUCACCUGUCAGCGGACCCUCCGGCCGUGUCUGCUUUCCGGCUCCUGGGAGUCAUGCUGCUGCGGACACCGAGGUGCGUGCCUCCGAGUCCCUCUGCCGCGCAGCCACAUCCUCCGACCGCGGGGCCACGGAGGCAGCGCUCAGCUACUAACAAAGUUCCAGUUUGCUCACAUCCCUUGAAAAAUGUUAAAGAGGAAACCCAAACCAGCGCUCCCUUCACCUCUUGCCCCACUGACCCUCCCUGUGUUGGGGACACAGCCUCAAACCCGAGCCAGCGAGGGAGGGACGGCGCGAGUGAGCGGGGCUGGUCCUCAGGGUGGACGGUCCUGGGGCGCUGGCCCCUCGAGGGCAGGGCGGGCGUGGACAGCCUCCCUGAAGCCGCCCGGCCCCAGCCGCCCGCCCGCUGGGACCCCGGGAAGGGCCUUCGCCCCCAGCCCCGUGCCCCCAGCUCCGGUUACACCCCAGCCGGCCCAGUGCCCGAGGGUCCCCCAGCCCCUGGCGUGGAGCUGAUGAGACCCUGGGGGGGGACCCCCGGAAUCAGAGCUUCACUCACAGGAAGAGAACAGCUCAUCUCAGGGUCGCGGUUCAUUGCGAAGCCGUUGAGGUCGGUGACCUGGCAGGAAAACGUGUCACACUUAUGCCCAGUUAAAGACGUUGAGUUAUCAAUGUCGGCAACUUUAAUUUUAAUACCACCUGCCAAAAUAAACCUUAUUUCCUAGAAAUUUUAUUCCCUCUGAGUUAUUACUGUGUGUGCAUCUAUAGGGCCACACACGCACACACCUCUCACACACACCUCAUUAUUACGUAGAGUUAAUUCCACUGUUUGGGCUGCAAUAAAAGCAAUUUUGAAAUUUAAAAUUGUUCUCCAGAUCCCAGGGUCACAAUGCGGAGGGUACAUGUCCCCUUCCAGGAGCUCAGGUCCCCGUCAGUGGGUAUAGGGGAAGAAAGAGCCAGGUUUCAGAGCCACGGCAUCACCUCCUCUGAAAACCUCAGUGUCUUUCUCUGUGAAAUGAGAGUGGCACUUGGACUCCAAGCAUUCACAGGCACUGUUCCCUCAGCCUGGCCAUCCCCUCCAUGAGUUCUGCCUGGUGAGCUCCUACAUAACCAUUAAACCCCAGCUGUGACAUCCCUUCUCCAGGCAGCUGCUCCAUACAGACACCUGGAUUCCUCCCACCUCUGCCUUCCCUCCAGCCGAGCCCUGGCGCUGCGGGGCUGGGGGCAUGCGUGGCCAGCUCGUCUCCUGCAGACUGGGGCUCCUUGAGGGGCUAGGGGUGGGGAGAGUUGAAGGAAAAUGGAGAUGCCACUGUCCCCACUUGAUGGGCAAGGGGCACUUUGAGAGGGGCCCUGCUCCCCAGAGACAGGUAGCCAUUUGGCCCCAGAGCCGCAGCUCAACUCUGGGGCAGCUGGACUCCGAGCACAGUGCUCCUUCCCAAAAGUCAUGUGUUGACCAAAUGACCCCCACCCCCAGUGGGCUGCUCGCCCUGACCCUCCAGGGUCCCUGCAGCCCCUGCCUGGGCCAGAACAGCCUGUCCCUUGGCAGGGGGGCUGUCCUCACAGCGGCCCGAGGUCACAGAUAAGGCCGCUGGCCCGGCUAUCGGCAGGAAACAUCUUGGCAGGACAGGAAGCCGCGGCGCUGGCCAGCCGCGCCCUCGCCAGCCUCGGCCUAUGGGCGGCCAGAUAUUUUGGGAGGCCCUAUAUAAACCCGGCUCAGCCCCGAGCCACUCCCGGGGGGAGCCCGCGGCCCUGGGAGGCAGCACCCGGGCUCUGGGCAGAGCCGCCGAGGGCCGCCGCGUGCUGGGGCACCGGUCUGGAUCGGGCCUACCCCACUCAAUCCUGGCGCAGCACUGGCUUGCUGAGCCCCCCUGGGAACUGGCUGCACCUCUGUGCCUCAGUUUCCCCCUCUCCACAGCCCUUCCCUGGUCGUGUCCUGAGAAACACAGACUUGACACCAAACGCACCCACGGGCCCCAGAGAUUUCCCUGAAGUUUCUGGGCCUGACGUGGCUCCCGCAGAUGCCCGGGCAGGCCCAGGAAUCUGCAUUUCAUCCAGCCUCAUGAUGAAAUCCCUACACAAGCUCAGGUUUCUCAAGUUCAAGGACAUACGACUGCUCCAGCCCCUCCACCCUCAGGCCUCCUCACUUCGCCCAGCCCGAAACAGCCCGAAACAGCCCGCUGGACAAGCACUCAGCCAGACCCUGCGCCAGUGUCGGAUCAGAGAGACAGCGUUGCAAGGAUGUGACUGUGGUUAUUCCAUUUUACAGAGGAGAGAAUUGAGGCCCAGAGAGGGGAAGGGACUUGCCUGAGGCCACACAGCAGGACAGAGGCAGGCCCGCAUCAAAACCGAGGCCCCGGGUCUCCUCCCGCACCCCGUGCACAUCACAGGAGGCUCAGGGGGUGGAGUGUGGCUCCAGGGGUCACACGCCCAGCAGUGGCUUGGGACUCAGACCCGGGUCUGCCCACUCACCCGCCCCCACCCCAGCUGGCACAGCACACAGUAACUUCUCUCGGGGCUGACUAACAUGCAUCCUUCAGCCGAGACCAGUAAAAGUGAAACGCAGAAGUGAAAUAAAACUACACCAAGCUUACGGGGCUCCGAGCUGGCUCCCGCGCUCAGAAGCCCUGGCCCUUUCCUGGUGAGAGGCCAGGGGGCAGGCCGGCCGCCAGGCGGGGGAGGCCAAGCGUGGCUAUGUAAAUGGCCGGCCCAGCACCUGCAGCCGCUUGCCAGUGCGGCUGGUGGAGCAUGCCCCACCGUCCCCACCCCAGGCAGCUGCAGCCGGCGAGAGGGAACGGCCGUGCCAGAUAUAACCCAACCUGAACUCCACCCAAAGCCCAAGCUCCAAGCCAGGCCUGUGCCUGGAAAGCCAGCUUGGGACAAAUGACCGUGGGCAGGUCACUGUCCAGUUCUGGGCUUCCAUCUCCCCCCGAGAAAGGUCUCAGCGUGGCCACAUGUCCCCUGCAGUUCUCCUCAGUCCCUCUCUGCAAGGCCUGCGGCGGGUAAGAGGCAGGACCACGCUGUCCUGCCCAGCCUGCUGCCGAGGAGGCACUGGGCUGGCCUCUCUGUCCUGACGGGAUGCUCAGUACCAUUCAAAGCAGCCUGCUCAUAGCCUAGAAACUGGCUGGUGAGACGGUGCCUCCCUCAGACCCUGCCCUGCCAUCCAGCCACCGGAGCAGGUGACAGGGACCCGGGGCUGUCCGUCUCCAGGUCAAACGCCUAAAGCCUCCAGUGCUUUCUCCCAGGGCACCACUCAGAAGUGUGCACAUGCACACGCACACACACAGAGACACACACACCACGGUGAUCCUCCCUGAACCCUCUGCCAUCUGCCUGCCCCGUUGCAAAGUGGCAGGGGGAGCUGCCUGCCUGCUCUGACCAGCCCAGAAUGAGGAGGGAAAUCAUCUCCUUCAUCCUGGAGUCUACACCUCUAUUAAUGCAAGCCAUGGACCCUGCAGCUUGUUGAGCAGCUGCAUGACAGGCAGGGGGCCUAUCCUGUAAUCAUCAAUCAUCAAUUCAAAACGCUGAGCCUGCAAGCGAGCUCCACUGGGAGAGAGGGGCUGCGAUGUCCUGCCUCUUGAUCUGGGUGCUGGAGAGGUGGGUGUGUUAACUUUGUGAAAAUGUAUCGAGAGCUGCACACUCGGGAUUCAGGCUCUUCAACGUCUGCGUGUUAUUCUUGAAUAAAACGCUUAUAAAGAAGAAAAGGAAAGAAAGCUGUUAACAUGAGGCUGAGGCAGACCGGGGUGAGAAAGCACUAACGGAGAGGCCGAGGGCAUGGCUGGACCCGGGAAGGGCAGUACAAAAGGGGCACAGCUCGGGCCAGGGCCUGGGGAGGCCUGCGUGACAGGGGUGGGGGCAGGGCCUGGGCACCACAGCCUCGGAAGUCACCGCCAAGAGUGUGGACGUCACCUGAGACCAAGGCAAUGCCACGGACAGGUUUGAGCGGAGGCUGAGGACGCACGGUGGACACAUGCAAAGGCCACCAACGCGGCGAACAGGAGGUUUAAGACGAGUGAGUGACGCAUGCUGGGGGAGGGGGGGCGGAAAGUGAGGCACAGCAAGGCCAGGCUGCUUGGCUCUAUGUCAAAGGUGGAGGUGACACCCGAGCCUCUUCUUUUCCGGCCGACUCCGCGCGCCGAGGGCGGGAAGAGCCACUGUGCCCAAGAAGCAGCUGGCGCCCGUGGGCUCCUGGCUGAGCUCUCGGCCUCGGUGUCCUGGUCCGUCCGUGGGGGCGCGGGAGGGCUGAGUCCAGGGCGUUUCACAACGGGGCCUCCAGGCGGCCGAGGAGGAGAUCCUCAGCGGGGGCGGCGGCGCCCGCCGCGCGGGCCGCGGGGACGGGACCAGACGG
ensembl:lncRNA